GUGCUCAUUUUGGCAGCACAUAUGCUAAAAUUGGAACAGCAGAGAACAUUAGUAAAAUCCUGUGCAAGGAUGACACACAAAUUUGUGAAGCAUUCAAUAUAUUU